rnacentral:ncRNA from 1 species
CAAGUUCUGUACGUUGAAGAUCUAGCCAAUCACGACGACCCCGAGUCAUGCGUUGGCAUCCGCAAGGAUGCCGGCGAAGCGUUGACAGGGGAACAUGCGGGCAGAGUAUCGAGCCGCGAAAAGUUGACGUCCAGGGUGCCGACGCCGUGGAGACUAGCGGAAGGCAACACGGGCUGGGGCGCUAUGGCGAGCGCCAGUCCGACCCUGCGUGGUCUGAGACCU